rnacentral:rRNA from 1 species
AACGAACGCUGGCGGCAGGCUUAACACAUGCAAGUCGAGCGCCUCGCAAGAGGAGCGGCAGACGGGUGAGUAACGCGUGGGAACGUACCCUUAUCUUCGGAAUAGCUCUGGGAAACUGGAAGUAAUACCGAAUGUGCCCUUAGGGGGAAAGAUUUAUCGGAUAAGGAUCGGCCCGCGUUGGAUUAGCUAGUUGGUGGGGUAAAGGCCUACCAAGGCGACGAUCCAUAGCUGGUCUGAGAGGAUGAUCAGCCACAUUGGGACUGAGACACGGCCCAAACUCCUACGGGAGGCAGCAGUGGGGAAUAUUGGAAAAUGGGCGCAAGCCUGAUCCAGCCAUGCCGCGUGAGUGAUGAAGGCCUUAGGGUUGUAAAGCUCUUUCACCGGAGAAGAUAAUGACGGUAUCCGGAGAAGAAGCCCCGGCUAACUUCGUG